AAAUUAUGAAUGCUGAGGAUGUUGUUAUUACGAGCAAUGAGAUGUCUUUUUUUAAAAAAAAAAAUUUGGUUGCUUGCUUGCAAGAGGACAUCUUAGCAUCAAAUUU